AUUGAACGCUGGCGGCAGGCCUAACACAUGCAAGUCGAACGGUAACAGGAAGAAGCUUGCUUCUUUGCUGACGAGUGGCGGACGGGUGAGUAAUGUCUGGGAAACUGCCUGAUGGAGGGGGAUAACUACUGGAAACGGUAGCUAAUACCGCAUAACGUCUCAAGACCAAAAAGGGGGACCUUCGGGCCUCUUGCCAUCGGAUGUGCCCAGAUGGGAUUAGCUAGUAGGUGGGGUAACGGCUCACCUAGGCGACGAUCCCUAGCUGGUCUGAGAGGAUGACCAGCCACACUGGAACUGAGACACGGUCCAGACUCCUACGGGAGGAAGCAGUGGGGAAUAUUGCACAUUGGGCGCAAGCCUGAUGCAGCCAUGCCGCGUGUAUGAAGAAGGCCUUCGGGUUGUAAAGUACUUUCAGCGGGGAGGAAGGGAGUAAAGUUAAUACCUUUGCUCAUUGACGUUACCCGCAGAAGAAGCACCGGCUAACUCCGUG
rnacentral:rRNA from 1 species